rnacentral:rRNA from 1 species
GACAGAGGGUGCAAACGUUGUUCGGGAUUACUGGGCGUAAAGCGCGUGUAGGUGGCGAGGCAAGUCGGGUGUGAAAGCCCUGGGCUCAACCCAGGAAGUGCACUCGAUACUGCCUAGCUAGAGUCCCGGAGAGGUUGGUGGAACUCUCGGUGUAGAGGUGAAAUUCGUAGAUAUCGAGAAGAACACCGGUGGCGAAGGCGGCCAACUGGACGGUGACUGACACUGAGACGCGAAAGCGUGGGGAGCAAACAGG